rnacentral:rRNA from 1 species
ACGAACGCUGGCGGCGUGCUUAACACCUGCAAGUCGAACGGAAAGGCCCUGCUUUUGUGGGGUGCUCGAGUGGCGAACGGGUGAGUAACACGUGAGUAACCUGCCCUUGACUUUGGGAUAACUUCAGGAAACUGGGGCUAAUACCGGAUAGGAGCUCCUGCUGCAUGGUGGGGGUUGGAAAGUUUCGGCGGUUGGGGAUGGACUCGCGGCUUAUCAGCUUGUUGGUGGGGUAGUGGCUUACCAAGGCUUUGACGGGUAGCCGGCCUGAGAGGGUGACCGGCCACAUUGGGACUGCGAUACGGCCCAGACUCCUACGGGAGGCAGCAGUGGGGAAUAUUGCACAAUGGGCGGAAGCCUGAUGCAGCAACGCCGCGUGCGGGAUGACGGCCUUCGGGUUGUAAACCGCUUUCGCCUGUGACGAAGCGUGAGUGACGGUAAUGGGUAAAGAAGCACCGGCUAACUACGUG